rnacentral:snRNA from 1 species
AGAAGAAUCACUUGAACACCGGAAGCAGAGGUUGCAGUGAGCUGAGAUCGUGCCACUGCACUCCAGCCUGGGUGACAGAU